UCCGAGGUGGUGUAAUGGCAGCACAAUGGAUUCUGGCUCCAUUAAUCUAGGUUCGAAUCCUAGCCUCGGAACCA
rnacentral:tRNA from 2 species